CACCCGUGAGCUACCACAGUCCA
rnacentral:siRNA from 1 species